AUUGAACGCUGGCGGCAGGCCUAACACAUGCAAGUCGAGCGGAUGAAGGGAGCUUGCUCCUGGAUUCAGCGGCGGACGGGUGAGUAAUGCCUAGGAAUCUGCCUGGUAGUGGGGGAUAACGUCCGGAAACGGGCGCUAAUACCGCAUACGUCCUGAGGGAGAAAGUGGGGGAUCUUCGGACCUCACGCUAUCAGAUGAGCCUAGGUCGGAUUAGCUAGUUGGUGGGGUAAAGGCCUACCAAGGCGACGAUCCGUAACUGGUCUGAGAGGAUGAUCAGUCACACUGGAACUGAGACACGGUCCAGACUCCUACGGGAGGCAGCAGUGGGGAAUAUUGGACAAAGGGCGAAAGCCUGAUCCAGCCAUGCCGCGUGUGUGAAGAAGGUCUUCGGAUUGUAAAGCACUUUAAGUUGGGAGGAAGGGCAGUAAGUUAAUACCUUGCUGUUUUGACGUUACCAACAGAAUAAGCACCGGCUAACCUCGUG
rnacentral:rRNA from 1 species